rnacentral:tRNA from 2 species
UAAAAUGGCUGAGUGUCAAGUGGUGGAUUGUAGCUCCAUGUACAGAGGUUAAAUUCCUCUUUUUAC